UGCAGUCCAGCUCCAGGCUCACAGCUCACAGCUCUCCUCUCCACCUCCAGCCUCACUGGCCUCGGACAUUACACAGCUAGAACAGGAGGUCCCUAAGCCACUAAGCAGAUGAAGUGUGAUCUAAUAUCAGAGAAACUGGCCUGCUUCCCAGCUCAUUAUUACUUUUGGUACGCGCUAGGCCUGCCUCAAACUCGUACCGUGAGUAAUAAUGCACUGUGGCAGGCAUUAAGCUACCUGACAGUAAAAGAUGAGCAACUUGAAGACCAUCAGCUUACUGUUCUAUUGUUAUUGCUUUUUUUCACUAUUUGCAUUUUUUUUUUUAUAAACAAGUGCGUGAAAUAGUUUUUUAAAGCUCAGUUUUGUUUGCUGGUAAAGUGCUUUUAAUGUGUAGCUUUUUUUUUUUUUUUUUUACAAACUCUUAUUAUUAUUAUUAUUAUUAUUAUUAUUUGUACAGUGUUAUGUAAAGGUUUUUGCUUACACACCCAUGUCUUAAUAUUUGAGGUACAGUAUAGGAAAAGUCAUGUAUUUUCAUAAAUAUUUUUUAUUAAUUAUUUGGACUUGGAAUAUGGAUUGAUAUACUGUGUGUGUGUGUGUGUGUGUGUGUGUGUGUGUGUGUGCAGUAAAAUACAUAUUAAAUAUAUAGAACACGGACUAUAUGGACAAUAAUACUGCUGCUAGUUCAUUUUCUACUCGUACGGUGACAUUUUUUUUAACCCUAUUUAAUUUUUUUGUAAAAAAUACAUUUUACUUUAAUAUUACACUUUGCACAUUCUGCAUAUUAUGUUAUUUGUAUAUUUCUAUUUUUUAUUAUAGCUUUGUAAAUCUGUAAAUUUGUUGAUGUGUACAUUUCAUCAUAAAUUUUUAUAUUAUACAUUUUUCUUAGUGCAAUGUUCCUUUUGUUGCAGGAACAAUCUUCCUACUCUAUCCUAUCCUUUUCUUUUUAGGUCAUGUCAGCAUUUCACUGCAUAUUAUACAGUGUAUGGUUGUGUACCUGGCAAAUAAAAUCUUAAUUUAAAUGUA